UACGUAGGGUGCGAGCGUUAAUCGGAAUUACUGGGCGUAAAGGGCGCGCAGGCUGUAGAUCAAGUCAGCUGUGAAAUGUCUGGGCUUAACCCGGGCAUGCGGUUGAAACUGAUGUACUGGAGUGCUGUAGAGGCAAGUGGAAUUCCCAGUGUAGCGGUGAAAUGCGUAGAUAUUGGGAAGAACACCGGUGGCGAAGGCGACUUGCUGGGCAGCAACUGACGCUGAGGCGCGAAAGCCAGGGGAGCAAACGGGAUUA
rnacentral:rRNA from 1 species